rnacentral:tRNA from 1 species
GUGGGGAUGGCUCAACCAUUAAGAGCACUGUCUGGACUUCCAGAAGACCUGGGUUCAAUUCCCAGCACCCACA